AGACAUACAAAGUUACAUGAUUGUUGUAAUUUUUUUCCCUUACAUCUCUUUCUACAUUGAUGCCCAUCUCCAACAAAUUGUAAAUAAAUAAAUAAAUAAAGCACACGAUAGACAAACGAAAUCGACAAUAAUGUUUGUUUUAAUUAAUUUUAUUAUUUCCCUCUUUUAUCUUUCUAUAUUGACGACAAUCUCCAGCAAAUUGAAAAAUAAAAUGCCUGAAUAAAGAUGGUUAGGAACAUGAGUGCGGGAGGCUAAAGGACGACGACGACAAUUAUGGGAUCCAGCCUAGAUAGGAUCAAACAACUUUUGUUUAAUCGAGGAGUAUAGAUAGAUAUGAGCUGAUAGCUUUUGUUUCAUAGUAUUUUGUUUUAGGUGAGAUGUACACCGAAAGGAAUUGACAUGUACGAUAGAAAAAGUGAUCAGAAAAGUAUUAGAAAAGCUGAGAAGUUAGAAUGUUGGAGAUUGCCUUCAAAAUGUUUGACGAAAUGGCUGAACGAAAAUGGCUUUGGAUGUUGAGAAGAUUUGCUUGAGGGUAAAUGCACAAUUUUUGAAUGGAAGCUUUAGCCCAUAAUAGGUCAUGAUCAUGUUGGAGAUUUCGUUUACUCUUUAACAACUUUUUCUAGCAUUUUUAUCAUGCAUAGCUAGGAUGGCUUUUUUGGUAAGUAGUUCCUUGAUUAUUUUUAUCUUUCUUCUUAGAUUCAUGGACGAUUGGUAGCUUGAGACUCAUAAGGCCUAGAAACAAAUUUGAUGCCUGGUGAUUUUGCAUAUUUCUAAAUUUUCUAUUGUAUUAUAUUUUUAGCUGACGGUUUAGAGGGAGCAUGAAGCACAUUGGACAAUGCAUUAUGCUACAGUGAUGAUCCCUGAAAUCUUGCAUAUUCAUCAUGAUUGCAAAUCCUUUGCCUCUUUUUAUUUUUUUCUCUUAUCUCCAAAAUAGUUUAUUGAUGCUCAUAGUGCUCCUACUAAUUGACUUAGCUUCUAUUAAAAGUUCUUU
rnacentral:lncRNA from 1 species